GUGCCGCUUGUUACCGCCUGUCGGGAAGAAACUCGUUCAACGCGAAGAAGUUCCGGGAAGUGCCAGUAGCUGCCGGACAAAGGACCUUGGGCGGCAUUUCGAAGAUCUGUCAAACGGGCAUUAGCGUGUUUACGUGACCGAGAUUGUUUAUUAAUUCGAUUAUUGGACAUCGCUGUUUGUUGUUUCGGUGCCAAGCUCGCGUCCAUGUGACUUUGUGCGAAGUGCCGUUUGUCGAGCAGAAUCUGCUAAAUGUAUUGUGAGGUCGGGCACGAGGUUAUCGUAGAAUUAAAUUUGGACUUUGUGGGCGGAUUCGUUUUUAGAUCGAAUGGGAAAUUCAAACACAAAGAAAUACCACUAUGCUCAUCGACAAUAUGCCAGUCAGUAUAGCAUCAGCGAUAUCCUUGGGGGACAGUGUGUUGGGACUCCUAGAGCUUCUUGUGAGGAAUUGAGGCCUUGGUCACGAUUCUCUCGUAGAAGUUGGAGUGACAACACUUUGAAUAACCCACUUAGUUUAUCCAAGACUGCGUGGCCUGUGCCAAGAUUCGAAGCUAUCUUUUUACCUGAGUUUCCAGUCAAAGAAACACCACUGAAGAAUGAAUAUGUGUUCAUUGAUAUUAUUUCUAAGGGGGCCUAUGGUCGAGUAUACAAAGUUCAGAAGAAGGAGACAAGAGAAGUUUUUGCUUUGAAGAUAAUUAGUAAAGCCCAAAUAGUUGCUGAGAAUUCCAUUGAUCAAGCAAAACAAGAGGUGUCUAUACAGAGAGCAGUUGGUCAUCAUACUUUUAUUGCUAAUUCUCCGUAUCAUUGGCAAGGAAGAAAGACAUUGUAUAUUUUGACACAAUUUAUUGGAGGUGGUGAAUUAUUUUCUCUAGUCGAAGAAUAUGGCUGUUUAUCAGAAGAUGUAGUUAGGAUAUACAUUGGGGAGAUAGCUCUUGCUUUAGAUUUCUUACACAAUGCUGGAAUCAUUCAUAGAGAUCUAAAGGCGUCCAAUAUUUUACUAGACAAUGAGGGCCAUGCAAUGCUAAUUGAUUUUGGUUUAGCAAAGUGGCUUCGACCAUUGCAACGAACAGGGACCUUUUGUGGAACAUUCGAAUAUAUGGCUCCUGAAAUCGUAAAGAGACAGUAUUAUGGACAUGAAGCAGACUGGUGGUCGUUGGGUGUGCUGGCUUGCUUUCUUCUUACAAAUCAGGUGAGUUAACCGCUACCAGAUCCGACGUUAUACCUAAGUCAAACAUCCGAAAAGCUCGAAGGACGAGCCAACCGUUCGCAAAUACCCAACUCCAUCGUUGUCGUCGCUCAAACGAUUCUCAAAUAGAAGUCCGCUCUCGACAGUCUCGUUCUCAGCUCUCUGUUAUCACGACGACGACGACGACGACGACGACGACGAGGAGGAGGCGGGAGGAUCUUUAGCGCACUACUCGUCCUUCGUCAAAUAUCCAGGUAAAAAUAUAACGAGCGACCUCUUGGAGAACGAGGAGUACAAGGCCGUGAGUUUUGGGACUCUGCCCGAGAGCGCGGAGAGCAGCUUGUCUCCAGGCGCGAUCGAUCUGCUGAAAAGGCUGCUACAGCCCGAGCCAAGAUUGCGGAUUAAAUCGGUCCUGGCUCUUCAGCGAAUCGCCUUCUACAUGGGUCACGACAUUAGGAGUUACACUCUCAAGAAGGUAUCGCCGUUUCAACUCCUCGGCAAAAGGAUCGAGUCGACGCUAACGUCGCUGGUUGACGACUUUAACGAUUUCGAUUCCUUUGUUGGAGCUGGCAGCACGACUCGCACCUGGGCACAGUCGACGAGGAGUGGAUAGCAGAAGGCCUAACGAUUGGAGAGACCUUACGAAAUCUGUUUACUUUGUGAUAUUUUGAUGAAUGAUUUGCAGCCGUCCUUUGAUACCUCACCAGUAGAUAUUAAUUUGGCAUUAACUUUUCUUAGCUAUUCUUUAGCGUUAACUCUGAAGCGAAGACUUAUAAACUUGUUGUGUGGAAAGAAAUCCUGCUGGUAUUCCACUAAGUACAAAUUAAUUUUUAUAUGCGUAAUUUAGUGAACUUUCGUACACGAUUAAUCAUGAUUUAUAGCAAUGUUGAUAUUUUCGAAAAUCGGAUAGUAUUUUAUUUUCGUUUGAUGUUGUUGUGAACGAUAAUCGAAUCAAAGGCAUCGAUGAUAAUGUAGGCCAAAAUACAUUUACAAUAAAAUAUUUUGAUGAUUAUUUCCUGUAA